rnacentral:rRNA from 1 species
GUGGGGGAUAUUGCACAAUGGGCGCAAGCCUGAUGCAGCGACGCCGCGUGGAGGAAGAAGGUUUUCGGAUUGUAAACUCCUGUCUUCAGGGACGAUAAUGACGGUACCUGAGGAGGAAGCCACGGCUAACUACGUGCCAGCAGCCGCGGUAAUACGUAGGUGGCAAGCGUUGUCCGGAAUUACUGGGUGUAAAGGGAGCGUAGGCGGGACAGCAAGUCCAGUGUGAAAUCUAUCGGCUCAACUGAUAGCUGCGCUGGAAACUGUGGUUCUUGAGUGAAGUAGAGGCAGGCGGAAUUCCUAGUGUAGCGGUGAAAUGCGUAGAUAUUAGGAGGAACACCAGUGGCGAAGGCGGCCUGCUGGACUUUUACUGACGCUGAGGCUCGAAAGUGUGGGUAGCAAACAGGA